CCUGUGUGUUUUGUUUACAGACUUCAGUCUUGGGAUUGUAGUGAGGGAAUCUUUCCUUUCUCCUUCUGCAUUAACAGGGGAGGGGACUGUUUAUCCCUGAGAAAGGGUACUGGAGCGUUUUAUGUUGUGUAUCCUUUGGACUAGUUUUGUUUGCCCUGGAAGGGGAGGGCUUUAUAGUUUGGUUGAAGGGGUAAUUGAUCUACCACAAAAGAAAUUGAAGGAUGGAUGCAAUUUGACAGAGGAAAGGUAAUUGGACUUCUCAGGAGGGGCUCUUCAGGAAUGCUGCCUCUGGAUGCAUCUUCGGGUCCCCAGAGGCCGACGGAAGCCUGGCCAGCUGAAGCCUGUCAUGGUGCCACUCAAAAGCCAUGCUCAGCUUUGAUUCUUGAAUGUGGACAUUUCAGAAGACCGUGAGUAGGAAAUACUUGGAAUGACAUCUUGGGGAACUUGGAUGUGGUCCAUGUGUCUGGUAUGUUUUGUUUAUAUUAAGGUUUGACUUCCAGGACCCACUAUGGGGAUGGUGGCUGCCUAGCUUUACAAGCUACCUUCCCUAUCUCUUAAAUCGACAAGCAUCAGCAAUUAAAUCGCUUUUUUAUUUAAUCUAAUGCUCAGACAUUAUUGUACUAUUCUUUUCUCCUAAUUUGAUGCCAUUAUGGAUGUUUCUUCAUCACCAGACUUCCCACAAAAUCCUAAAAAAGAGAUGCUGUCAGACAGCCCUCCUGCAGCCAAGAUGGCUGAUCAGGGAGAACUUGCCCCUCUGAGGCUAGAGUGAAACUAUGUCUAAAAAAAACUCAAGAGAGCAAACUAUUUUGAGGAAAAAUAUCUGAAGAUCCAACAAAUUACUAGAACGCAUCAAGCUAAUUUGCAAGGCUUGGCAUCAAGACUAGAAGAAGCUGAGAACAGAAUCUUCUUGCUAGAAGUCAUAAUGAACACCUCAGAGCAACUGACAAGUGCUAUUGAAACACUGUAGGAGAAGGUUAAUAUCAAAAGGAUGAUCAAGGAUAAACAAUCUGAGAGUUUUCCAGCCGUUCCGGGUUGGAAAAAAGGAAAGGCCUGUGAAAUUUUUAGCCAUGAUAUUGCCUGUGCUUUUGUCUCUCUUCCCUGAUGAGAACUUCGAUAUUGAGAGAGCCAACCACACCCUAGCACACCUGAUUGCAAAGCCCCAGCCCAUAAUUGUAAGAUAUUUUUAAAAUAUAGUAUUCAGGAACUCAUUCUUUAAAAAGCCUGUGAACUUAAAUGUCUAGCAUGAUAGGGACACAGGCUGACGAUUUUCCUGGAUUACAGCUAGGAUGUGAUGGAAAAGAGGACUAAAUUCAAUAGCUCAAGAGCCCUAGCCAAAAGGUUUAGACUACUUUAUUUCCUUCCCCGCUCCUUUCAAAGUUAAACAGGAGGCCAAGAUGUUGAGUUUUAUGACAGCAGAGGAAGCUGCAAGGUAUCUGAUCCCACUACGUCAAAAGACCCCUACAGAAUAUGCAGAUGGGAUGUAUUAAAACAACUUUACCAGAUCAGGGCUGGAAUUCAGCUCUCCAUUUAGCAACAAUGGUACAGAGCCAACACAAUAUUUUGUCUCCACCCUUGUGCUUGUUUCCUUUCUUUGAACUUCCCCAGCUUCCCCAACAGAGGGAGCCAGCUGAGGAGCAAAGGGGUGGGGAAGAGGAUCUCCUCUUCGAUUUGAGGUCUGGCCCUCCAUCUGGAUGCAGGAAAUAGUUAUGAGCUCCUCCUGGUGUUAGCAGGUUGGAGUGUUACAGUAUUGACACAGCUACUUUGCUUGCAUCUACCUUACCUUGCCUCCCCAUGAUUCCAGUGCACAGGAAGCAUCUACCCUACUCCCUUGUGAUUCCAGUGCGCCAGGAGCACAUCCACCUUUGAGAUCCUGACUCCAAGCAAAUCGCUUAGCUAGACCUGGGGACUCGUUACACCUGUGGAUCGGCAAGGCCUUUUUAUCUGAGGCACUCUCCCUCCAGGGAUCUUUUCCAACUCCUCUCUCUCUCUUCCUCCUCCCUACUCACCCUCAAUGACUUUACUUUGUUUCAACCCAAAUUCUAGGAAAUUAGGUGGGGAUAACAGUAUUCCUGGAAACAGUCAACUCAUUUGCUCUAAAUGUACAGUACACUUACAAGAGAUACCAGAUUUAACCUGAGAUCAUCAUUAAACAAUGUAAUGAAGGACUCUGUUCAAUUCCUCAACUGUAAAGAAAUCUGAUCUCCCCCUAAAAUCCUAUUCAAGAAUAAUUAUCGCUGGUUAUGCUUCA